CUGCUGCCUUCCGUAGGAGUUUGGACCGUGUCUCAGUUCCAAUGUGGGGGACCUUCCUCUCAGAACCCCUACUGAUCGUCGCCCCGGUGGGCCGUUACCCCGCCGGCAAGCUAAUCAGACGCAUCCCCAUCCUUUACCGGCCGAAGCCUUUGGUCAUGAAAAUAUGCAUCAACAUGACAACAUACGGUAUUAAUCCGCCUUUCGACGGGCUGUCCCAUAGUAAAGGGCGUAGGUGAUCGUCGUUACNCCGCCGUGCCGGCCGG
rnacentral:rRNA from 1 species